UACGACCGCAUCAUGUUGAAACACCGCUUCUCGUACGAAUACCAAAGUUAAGCAAUGUCGAGCUUGGUCAGUACUUAGAUGGGUGACCGCUUGGGAAUAACACGUGUUGUAAG